GGGCGCAAGCCUGAUGCAGCCAUGCCGCGUGUGUGAAGAAGGCCUUCGGGUUGUAAAGCACUUUCAGUCAGGAGGAAAGGUUAGUAGUUAAUACCUGCUAGCUGUGACGUUACUGACAGAAGAAGCACCGGCUAACUCCGUGCCAGCAGCCGCGGUAAUACGGAGGGUGCGAGCGUUAAUCGGAAUUACUGGGCGUAAAGCGUACGCAGGCGGUUUGUUAAGCGAGAUGUGAAAGCCCCGGGCUCAACCUGGGAACUGCAUUUCGAACUGGCAAACUAGAGUGUGAUAGAGGGUGGUAGAAUUUCAGGUGUAGCGGUGAAAUGCGUAGAGAUCUGAAGGAAUACCGAUGGCGAAGGCAGCCACCUGGGUCAACACUGACGCUCAUGUACGAAAGCGUGGGGAGCAAACAGGAUUAGAUACCCUGGUAGUCCACGCCGUAAACGAUGUCUACUAGAAGCUCGGAACCUCGGUUCUGUUUUUCAAAGCUAACGCAUUAAGUAGACCGCCUGGG
rnacentral:rRNA from 1 species